ACAUAACCUUUAGCCACAAACAAGUAUUAAAGGCAACGCCUGCCCAGUGAACAAUUAAACGGCCGCGGUACCCUAACCGUGCAAAGGUAGCGUAAUCAUUUGUCUAUUAAUUGUAGACCUGUAUGAAAGGCAAAAUGAGGGCCUAACUGUCUCUUAUAAUAAAUCAAUUAAACUGAUCUUUUAGUACAAAAGCUAAAAUACCAACAUAAGACCAGAAGACCCUGUGAAGCUUUAACUAACCUAUUAAACCCAAUAAUAGCUACUUUCGGUUGGGGCGACCUUGGAAAAAAAAGAAACUUCCAAACUAUGACUAAAACUCAACAAAGGCCCACAAGCCCAUAACGACCCAGCACAGCUGAUAAUUGAACCAAGUUACUCCAGGGAUAACAGCGCUAUCUUCUUCAAGAGCCCAUAUCAAAAAGAAGGUUUACGACCUCGAUGUUGGAUCAGGACAUCCUAAUGGUGCAGCAGCUAUUAAGGGUUCGUUUGUUCAACGAUUAACAGUCCUACGUGAUC
rnacentral:rRNA from 1 species